GGAGAAGAGCACAAGAUUAAGGUGUUCAUUUAAGCAGGAUGUUAGAAAACUACAGAAAGAAGAUGUUGGCAGGGUCAAAAGUUCAUGAGUGGUGGGGAGAAGGAGGGUUACCUAGGUAAAUGGUGAGAUGAGGGAGGGUUGCUUAGGUAAGUGGACUUCUGUUUGGAACAAUAGAUUGACGUCUCGGUCAUGUUGUUCCUUCUGGGUGCUAAUGAUUCUGGGAGUAACUUAUAAUCAAAAGACAGUUCUAUAAGCAUGUGGCAUGCAAAGUUUAGGCCUAAAGUUAAUGCCAACCUGCAUGGCUCCAAACAAGUCACCACCAUUCAGAGUUCCAAACUGAAUGUUUGCAGGUAUCAGGGAAGCAGAAUAUGAGCCCAUUCAGACAAGUCAGACUUCAAGCCUGAAAGUUCCUAAUUUGUCCUAACAGGAGGUAUAAAAUCAAGCAGGGGUACAUCUCACAUGUGGACUUGUGAGCUCCCAAUGAUGCCUAUUAUCAUAUGGGAGAUAAAUUCACUCUUGUGGUUUUGGUUAGCCAACCAUCUUUUAAAGACAUUAUUGUCAGCUUCCAUCCUGAUCAUUUCUUUUGUACAUUUCCAUCAUUUUUUUGAGAUUUGGCGUUGGAAAUUUCCAUAAUCACCAACUAUAAGUUAAUUUCUGAUGCAGUCAAUUACUGUGCUGUGAAAAAGAUUCACCACACUGGUUACUUUCCUAUGGUAUCUAUCCAUUAUGUGUCCUUUUAUGUACUUGAAGACUACUGUGCAAAGGCUUUACCACACUGAUUACAUUCAUAGGGUUUCUCUCCAGUAUGUAUCCUUUUAUGCCUUUGAAGAGUACUGUGCUGAGAAAAGGCUUUCCCACACUGUUUACAUUCAUAGGGUUUCUCUCCAGUAUGUGUUCUUUUAUGCCUUUGAAGAGUACUGUGCUGAGAAAAGGCUUUACCACACUGAUUACAUUCAUAGGGUUUCUCUCCAGUAUGUGAUCUUUUAUGACGUUGAAGAGCACUGUGACGAGAAAAGGCGUUACCACACUGACUACAUUCAUAGGGUUUCUCUCCAGUAUGUGAUCUUUUAUGUCUUUGAAGAGCACUGUGAUGAGAAAAGGCUUUACCACAUUGAUUACAUUUGUAGGUUUUCUCCUCCUUAUGUCUUCUUUGAUGAAUAAGAAGAUAACACUGAUAUGCAAAGGCUUUACCACAUUGGUUGCAUUCAUAUGAUUUCUCUCCAGUGUGUUUUGUUUCAUGACUUUGGAGAUAACUGUUAUUUUCAAAGGCUUUAUCACAUUGUGUG
rnacentral:lncRNA from 1 species